CGGCAGGCCUAACACAUGCAAGUCGAACGGUAACAGGAAGCAGCUUGCUGUUUCGCUGACGAGUGGCGGACGGGUGAGUAAUGUCUGGGAAACUGCCUGAUGGAGGGGGAUAACUACUGGAAACGGUAGCUAAUACCGCAUAACGUCGCAAGACCAAAGAGGGGGACCUUCGGGCCUCUUGCCAUCGGAUGUGCCCAGAUGGGAUUAGCUAGUAGGUGGGGUAACGGCUCACCUAGGCGACGAUCCCUAGCUGGUCUGAGAGGAUGACCAGCCACACUGGAACUGAGACACGGUCCAGACUCCUACGGGAGGCAGCAGUGGGGAAUAUUGCACAAUGGGCGCAAGCCUGAUGCAGCCAUGCCGCGUGUAUGAAGAAGGCCUUCGGGUUGUAAAGUACUUUCAGCGGGGAGGAAGGGAGUAAAGUUAAUACCU
rnacentral:rRNA from 1 species